AAUGGAAUUGCUGGAUCACAUGGUAAUUCUAUGUUUAAGUUUGUGAGGAAUUAACAAAUUAUUUUCCAUAGGAGUUGCACCAUUUUACAUUCCCACCAACAGC
rnacentral:pre_miRNA from 1 species